CUCUGUUGGCUUUGACUACGCUUUUGGUCUCCUGGCCUGGUGUACCUGACCUGGCCUGUUAACUUCCCUGAGUGCUUAGUGUUCCAGUCUUCUGACUCAUCUGACUACCUAGCUAGUGCACUAGUCCCUGGCUUGUUUACGAACAUUACUCUUCUCCGUGCUCCUGACCCUUGCCUGUCCCGACUAUGCCUUGAUUUCAGUGUUCCUGUUACCUG